rnacentral:rRNA from 1 species
CUAACAAGGAUUCCCUUAGUAACUGCGAGUGAAGAGGGAAAAGCUCAAAUUUAAAAUCUGGCAGUGUUUCACUGUCCGAGUUGUAACCUAGAGAAGUGUAACCUGCGCUGGACCGUGUAUAAGUCUCCUGGAAUGGAGCAUCACAGAGGGUGAGAAUCCCGUCUUUGACAUGGACCACCAGUGCAUUGUGGUUGUGCUCUCAACGAGUCGAGUUGUUUGGGAAUGCAGCUCUAAAUGGGUGGUAAAUUCCAUCUAAAGCUAAAUAUUGGCGAGAGACCGAUAGCGAACAAGUACCGUGAGGGAAAGAUGAAAAGAACUUUGGAAAGAGAGUUAAACAGUAUGUGAAAUUGUUGAAAGGGAAACGUUUGAAGUCAGUCGCGUUGGUUGGGGAUCAGCCUGACAUUGUUGGGUUUACUUCCUGGUCGACGGGCCAACAUCAGUUUUGACUGCCAGAAAAAGGCCAAAGGAAUGUGGCACCUUUGGGUGUGUUAUAGCCCUUGGUCGUAUAUGGUGGUUGGGACUGAGGAAAGCAGCGUGCCGAAAGGCCGGGUUUCGACCACGUUCACGCUGAGGAUGUUGGCAUAAUGGCUUUAAGCGACCCGUCUUGAAACACGGACCAAGGAGUCUAACAUGCAUGCGAGUGUUUGGGUGGAAAACCCUUACGCGUAAUGAAAGUGAAAGUUGAGAUCCCUGUCGCGGGGAGCAUCGACGCCCGGACCAGAACUUUUGGGACGGAUCUGCGGUAGAGCACGUAUGUUGGGACCCGAAAGAUGGUGAACUAUGCCUGAAUAGGGUGAAGCCAGAGGAAACUCUGGUGGAGGCUCGUAGCGAUUCUGACGUGCAAAUCGAUCGUCAAAUUUGGGUAUAGGGGCGAAAGACUAAU